GAGGGUAUAGCUCAGUGGUAGAGUGCCGGCUUAGCAUGCAACAAGUCCUGGUUUCAAGUCCCAGUACUGUUA
rnacentral:tRNA from 1 species